AUUGGGGUGGCAGAGCAUGGUAAGUGCAAAAGACCUAAGCCCUUUCAACCGAGGGUUCAAAUCCCUCCCCCAACU
rnacentral:tRNA from 1 species